rnacentral:rRNA from 1 species
UACGGAGGGGACUAGCGUUGUUCGGAAUUACUGGGCGUAAAGCGCACGUAGGCGGAUUUGUAAGUCAGGGGUGAAAUCCCGGGGCUCAACCUCGGAACUGCCUUUGAUACUGCAAAUCUCGAGUCCGGAAGAGGUGAGUGGAAUUCCUAGUGUAGAGGUGAAAUUCGUAGAUAUUGGGAAGAACACCAAUGCGAAGGCAGCUCUCUGGGACGGUACUGACACUGAGACGCGAAAAGCGUGGGGGAGCGAAACAGGG